UUUCCGUAGGUGAACCUGCGGAGGGAUCAUUACAGAGUUCAUGCCCUACCGGGUAGGUCUCCCACCCUAUGUUAUUAUUACUUUGUUGCUUUGGCGGGCCGUUAGGCUCCGGCCCGACUACCGGCCCCGGCUGGUAAGCGCCCGCCAGAGGACCCAAAACCCUGAAUAUUAGUGUCGUCUGAGUACUAUAUAAUAGUUAAAACUUUCAACAACGGAUCUCUUGGUUCUG
rnacentral:misc_RNA from 1 species